CCUACGGGAGGCAGCAGUGGGGAAUAUUGCACAAUGGGGGAAACCCUGAUGCAGCGAUGCCGCGUGGAGGAAGAAGGUUUUCGGAUUGUAAACUCCUUUUAUCAGGGACGAUAAUGACGGUACCUGAAGAAAAAGCUCCGGCUAACUACGUGCCAGCAGCCGCGGUAAUACGUAGGGAGCGAGCGUUGUCCGGAAUUAUUGGGUUUAAAGGGUGCGUAGGCGGAAUGCCAAGUCAGCGGUAAAAUCGCGGGGCUCAACCUCGCUCCGCCGUUGAAACUGGCGUUCUUGAGUGGGCGAGAAGUAUGCGGAAUGCGUGGUGUAGCGGUGAAAUGCAUAGAUAUCACGCAGAACUCCGAUUGCGAAGGCAGCAUAUCGGCGCCCAACUGACGCUGAAGCACGAAAGCGUGGGUAUCGAACAGGAUUAGAUACCCCAGUAGUC
rnacentral:rRNA from 1 species